rnacentral:rRNA from 1 species
AUUGAACGCUGGCGGCAUGCCUUACACAUGCAAGUCGAACGGCAGCACGGGAGCAAUCCUGGUGGCGAGUGGCGAACGGGUGAGUAAUAUAUCGGAACGUACCUUUCAGUGGGGGAUAACGUAGCGAAAGUUACGCUAAUACCGCAUAUUCUGUGAGCAGGAAAGCAGGGGAUCGCAAGACCUUGCGCUGAUUGAGCGGCCGAUAUCAGAUUAGCUAGUUGGUGAGGUAAAGGCUCACCAAGGCGACGAUCUGUAGCGGGUCUGAGAGGAUGAUCCGCCACACUGGAACUGAGACACGGUCCAGACUCCUACGGGAGGCAGCAGUGGGGAAUUUUGGACAAUGGGGGAAACCCUGAUCCAGCCAUGCCGCGUGCAGGAUGAAGGCCUUCGGUUGUAACUGCUUUGUCGGAACGAAAGGUACCUUCUAAUAAAGAGGCGUCAUGACGGUACCGUAAGAAUAAGACACCGGCUAACUACGUGCCACGCAGCCG